GGGCGACAGAGCGAGAGUCCGUCUCAAAAAAAAAGAUUCAAGUUGUUCUUUCCCUGGUUUGUAUCUGUUUUUUUCUUGUGUAUACUUGUCUGAUCACUCCUUCUGAAGCUACAAUGAUUUUUUUGGAUGUCUUUACCUUUUCUCCUUCAUAGAGAUUGUUAUUGAACUAUUAGAAUUUUUAUAUUAUGAGCUUUAAGAAAGUAAAGUCACUUUCCCCAUUAUUCUCAUAGGUUGUUCCACAUUAACCUCCUUCAAGAGUAUCAGUUUCUCUGUUUUCGGAGGUCUUUGGUUAUAUUUGAUCCAACUUUUAUAGCAAAGCAAGAUCAUGAUGAAUUUUGCAGUGGAAAGGGUUUUGUCUAUAGGUGGUCCAGAACCAAAACUCUGGUUUGGGGUAGGCAAGAAUCUCAAAGGCAGAGUCUUCUAGGGAGCAUCCUAAUGGCAGGGAGAGAGGAUUAUAACACUGGAUACCCAACAGAUGUUCAGUCCAUCCUGAUUGCUGUUCAUUUCUCAUCCUGCAGUGUGGGCCAAACUGAAAUUGCAGAAGGCUUCAGAACGAUGGCAGCCUGACACUGAGGAAGAAUAUGAAGACUCAAGUGGGAAUGUUGUGAAUAAGAAGACAUACGAGGAUCUGAAAAGACAAGGACUGCUCUAGUGUUCAGGGAUGUAGCUCAGCUUUUGGGCUAGCCCAGGCUUCCCUAAGAUCUGCUUUUUCUAUUUCUCCCAACCAAAUCCUCUUAAAGACCCUUUGCUAUGUAGUCUCAUGGUCUAGCAUGCA
rnacentral:lncRNA from 1 species